rnacentral:misc_RNA from 1 species
AAGUCGUAACAAGGUAACCGUAGGUGAACCUGCGGUUGGAUCAUUAACAAAAUGAUAAAAGCCCCGGGACUCUUUCCGGGCUUUUAUAAACACUUGUGAACUGUAAUUGUCUCUGGUGGGUUAAAAAAGGGCUAAUCACCUUUGUGAGUUAGUCCCUGGUGUUUUAUAGACACCACCCACCGCUAUUAUUUUAACGUUUAUAAGCCUUUGAAUUUAUUUUUUUUAAUGAUUUUAUUAAAAACAACUUUUGACAACGGAUCUCUAGGCUCUC